GGGGAAUAUUGCACAAUGGAGGAAACUCUGAUGCAGCGACGCCGCGUGAGUGAAGAAGGUCUUCGGAUCGUAAAACUCUGUCCUUGGUGAAGAUAAUGACGGUAGCCAAGGAGGAAGCCCCGGCUAACUACGUGCCAGCAGCCGCGGUAAUACGUAGGGGGCUAGCGUUGUCCGGAUUUACUGGGCGUAAAGGGUGAGUAGGCGGUUGCAUAAGUCAGAUGUAAAAGGCGUGGGCUUAACUUACGUUAGCAUUUGAAACUGUGCGACUUGAGUGCAGGAGAGGUAAGUGGAAUUCCUAGUGUAGCGGUGAAAUGCGUAGAUAUUAGGAGGAACACCAGUGGCGAAGGCGACUUACUGGACUGUAACUGACGCUGAGUCACGAAAGCGUGGGUAGCAAAC
rnacentral:rRNA from 1 species